AUGUUGGCUCUUAGAAUAGAAAAGAAACUUUUCACACUCAACCCAAUUGAAGAAUUCUGUCCUCAAGUCACUGAUUCAUUUUUCCUUCACUCCUUCACAGGUUAUGGAAGUUUCAUCAAUUUUUGGACAAGUCUGAUCAUUCAAGUGUUCUUUCUUCUACUGUGUGGUGCAGAGCUUGGUGACUGUUCUACUCGUGUAUCCUGGAUCUCCCUGAUUGGCAGGUUACAACAACUUGCUCAGCCAAUUGGCCACACCCUAAUCUCCUGCCUCAUUUGCCCCUGAUGGACAUAAAUCCCCAUAAUUUUUUGUGAAAUGCUGAGCAUGUAGAGUCUCUGUCUUCAUACAGCUGCUUCAUGCUGAAAUGGGCUGUAGGCCCUACCUGCAGGGGUCCUAUGGAAAUUAUGUGCUGUCCAACUAUCUUGCAAUGUUGGGGCUCAGUGACUGGGCUAAAAAAAAUACCCAUCAGAAGAAAGGAGAAAGGAGCGAGUGCCUAUAUGUCAAGAACUGUUGAACUGCUUGUUCAGUGGGAGAAAGCUUGGUGAAUUUGUCAGGAGAGUCAAGGGCUGCAGUCUGGAUCACCAUCAGAAGCCUGGAAUGGAUAGACUAUUAAUAUAUUGAGGAUGCAGAGCCCAAAUACGGGAAGGAGCAGGUCAGAUAUUUCUCAGUCUGUAUUAAAAGGUGGAUUCUGACAGAUCCAUCAGUUAGAGACAUUACUUUCCAUGUUAUUAUUUGUAAAAGUGUUUUGAAGUUUUAUGUGCACACUUUCCAUGGAAGAGAAAACAUGAAGAAGGAUAUCAGAUAAAAUGCCAAGGGACUGAGAGCCAUAGUCCCAGCAAAAUUAUCCACAUUAUGGAGCUAAUUAGACACAAGAUUGCCAAUAGAGGUGCCUAUAUAUGUUGUGGUGGAUUAGGGGUCAUCAGUGACUCUACUUAUCUGGACCUCGAACACUACUAGAGUCCUGCUUUUUGGAGAGGAGCUUCGGAUUUUCCAGAGGUUCACAGGCACAGCUUUUUUCUUUUGGAUGACCUAUUUCUUCAGGUGGGGCUAGCUUUAUCCUAGAAACAUGAAGCCAGCUAUCUAUGCCACCAUACUGCACUGAGUGUAACAAGGAUAACUGAAAAGGGUCCCUUCUUUUUAGUUUGACUUGUUGUGCAGGAGCCCCUUCUUUCCAAGUUUUAAUGAGCACUUGGUCUCCAGGGCAGACAUUAGGUGUUCCCCUGGGCUAGGAGCUGACAGGACUCACUUCCCAUAUACCUAGAUGGAUAGCCUGUUUGCUUGGCCCAAACUAACAAGACAGUGUAAGAUUGUCCUGGUCUCUGGGGUCCAUACCAUAUCAGAAGACAGAAAAGGGACCCCUUGCCAUGCCCACCAGCCACCAGCAGUGUAGCAGUGCGGGCUGAGUGGUCCCUGGCCACCUGGAGCCCUGCUCCUUCUAGCUCGCCAUGCCCACCUGCAACCAGAGAGUUGAUGAGGACCCCUCGGCACAUCCACCAGCCUGCAACCCCCGCUCCCCUCCCCUCACACCUGCCUCUGGCCUCUUGGCUGUGCUGCUACCUGGUUCCACACUACAGAGGCACAGGGGGGCAUAAAGGGCAUUAUCCUGAGCUGCAGAAGUGAACAGGUAGAGGGCCUCUCUUGGGCUCCUUGAAGAAAACUGAAGCCCACUGGAAAAGUGAAGAGAAUCUCUGCAAUAAAGGCACACCAGACCCUCGUACUUGGUAAGUUGGAGGGAUCAUCCCCUCCCAUUGGAACCUGGACUAUCUUCAGGGGAAAGGCAGCUGGAACCUGCAGUAGAACCUUGCAGAGUUCAACCUGCAGGAGGACAGGGAGCUCAACUUGGGACUUGCAGCCAGAAAUCUGCCUGAAUCUUAUGGGUCUGUGACUAGCUUACUGAAAGUCAUUGACUUAUAUCUGCACACUGCUGCCCACAUUGUCUAUUGUGACAGCAGAGAUAUAUGCUGAAGGAGGCCCUUCAUUUUUAUCUUUCAUUUGUUAUUUUCAAAAUUAGCACCACUUUUUUGCUCUUAUUUUUAAUUUUUUUUCUUUUUCUACUCUUUUCAAAUUUUUAUUUUUCUCUUUUUUCUUUCUUUUCUGCUUUCUUUCUCUCUUU
rnacentral:lncRNA from 1 species